rnacentral:lncRNA from 1 species
AAAAAGCUCAUCUCAUACCUCAAAGGAGAUUGGGAGCCAUUAAGCUCAUCUCAUAGCUCAAGGAAUGAAAUGAGAUUGUGAACCAGAAGAUUCAUCUCAUAGCUCAAAUGAGAUUGGGAACUAGAAGAUUCAUCUCAUAGCUUAAACGAGAUUGGGAGCCGGGAGACUCAUCUCAUAGCUCAAUCAAUGAAAUGAGAUUGGGAACCAGAAGAUUCAUCUCAUAGCUCAAAUGAGAUUGGGAACC